GCCAGACUCCUACGGGAGGCAGCAGUGGGGGAUAUUGCACAAUGGGGGGAACCCUGAUGCAGCGACGCCGCGUGGGUGAAGGAGCGUUUCGGCGCGUAAAGCCCUAUCGGCAGGGAAGAAGGAGGACGGUACCUGACUAAGAAGCCCCGGCUAACUACGUGCCAGCAGCCGCGGUAAUACGUAGGGGGCAAGCGUUAUCCGGAUUUACUGGGUGUAAAGGGGGCGCAGACGGCAGCGCAAGCCAGGAGUGAAAGCCCGGGGCCCAACCCCGGGACUGCUCUUGGAACUGCGCGGCUGGAGUGCAGGAGGGGCAGGCGGAAUUCCUGGUGUAGCGGUGAAAUGCGUAGAUAUCAGGAGGAACACCGGUGGCGAAGGCGGCCUGCUGGACUGCGACUGACGUUGAGGCCCGAAAGCGUGGGGAGCAAACAGGAUUAGAUACCCCCGUACAG
rnacentral:rRNA from 1 species